rnacentral:rRNA from 1 species
GAUGAACGCUGGCGGCGUGCCUAAUACAUGCAAGUCGAGCGAACAGAUGAGGAGCUUGCUCCUCUGACGUUAGCGGCGGACGGGUGAGUAACACGUGGAUAACCUACCUAUAAGACUGGGAUAACUUCGGGAAACCGGAGCUAAUACCGGAUAAUAUAUUGAACCGCAUGGUUCAAUAGUGAAAGACGGUUUUGCUGUCACUUAUAGAUGGAUCCGCGCCGCAUUAGCUAGUUGGUAAGGUAACGGCUUACCAAGGCAACGAUGCGUAGCCGACCUGAGAGGGUGAUCGGCCACACUGGAACUGAGACACGGUCCAGACUCCUACGGGAGGCAGCAGUAGGGAAUCUUCCGCAAUGGGCGAAAGCCUGACGGAGCAACGCCGCGUGAGUGAUGAAGGUCUUCGGAUCGUAAAACUCUGUUAUUAGGGAAGAACAAAUGUGUAAGUAACUAUGCACGUCUUGAGGGUACCUAAUCAGAAAGCCACGGCUAACUACGUG